UUAAAUACCCAGCUUUCCUCGGCCUGAUUACAACAAGCGUUAGAGCUCUGUCACAUUGUCACCCAGGAGGAAUACGACAGCAAACAAUUCUGUAGAAGGAAGAAAUCUUAUGUUUGCACUUUAUGUAAUUCGCAUGUAAGUGGGAAGCCUGAGUUGGUGGAAAUCUGGCUUGAGCAUCCAGAAUAUGCAGUUCCCUGGAUAGCCACCAAGAGGGGACUGAAGCAGAAGACAUGAUGUCACCUUCAAGGGGGAGACUUUUCAGCUGUCUGGGGCGGGGAACUAGGACGAAUGAGAAGAACUACCGGCCUCAAACCCCAAGGAGAGGCCAGAACACCUUUCUGGGCCCCAGUCCAACCUCUGCCUUGAAAACAAAGCUCCAAACGAGAUGCAGUGCAGAUUCCAGACCUCCAGAUCCUAGUUGCCCCGAGGGAGAGCUAGCUCCAAGCAGCCCAGAAGGUCUCUGGGUAUCCUGUGCCCCCACCCACAGAAAUCAGGAGCCCAAGGCUAUAACCAGUGUAGAACCAGACCUAAGAUAAUUCAAGGGUUACCAAGCCAGGUCUUUCGAAACCUUUCUCUCACUAAGGGAGAGGAG
rnacentral:lncRNA from 1 species